GACAGCGUGGCGUAAUGGUUUGAGUGUUGGACUAUGACUCUGGAGACCAGGGUUCGAUACCCGGCUUAGCUA